GAUGAACGCUGGCGGCGUGCCUAAUACAUGCAAGUCGAGCGAACGGACGAGAAGCUUGCUUCUCUGAUGUUAGCGGCGGACGGGUGAGUAACACGUGGAUAACCUACCUAUAAGACUGGGAUAACUUCGGGAAACCGGAGCUAAUACCGGAUGAUAUUUUGAACCGCAUGGUUCAAAAGUGAAAGACGGUCUUGCUGUCACUUAUAGAUGGAUCCGCGCUGCAUUAGCUAGUUGGUAAGGUAACGGCUUACCAAGGCAACGAUGCAUAGCCGACCUGAGAGGGUGAUCGGCCACACUGGAACUGAGACACGGUCCAGACUCCUACGGGAGGCAGCAGUAGGGAAUCUUCCGCAAUGGGCGAAAGCCUGACGGAGAAACGCCGCGUGAGCGAUGAAGGUCUUCGGAUCGUAAAACUCUGUUAUUAGGGAAGAACAUAUGUGUAAGUAACUGUGCACAUCUUGACGGUACCUAAUCAGAAAGCCACGGAUAACUACGUG
rnacentral:rRNA from 1 species